rnacentral:rRNA from 1 species
GGCGAACGGGUGAGUAACACGUGGGUAAUAUGCCCUGCACUCUGGGAUAAGCCUGGGAAACUGGGUCUAAUACUGGAUAUGACCUUUCUCCUUAUGGGGUUUGGUGGAAAGUUUUUCGGUGUAGGAUGAGCCCGCGGCCUAUCAGCUUGUUGGUGGGGUGAUGGCCUACCAAGGCGACGACGGGUAGCCGGCCUGAGAGGGUGAUCGGCCACAUUGGGACUGAGAUACGGCCCAG